UGCUGGUGCCGAUGGACGGAUGAUCUGUAGCUGAUCCCUUGUCUUGAAAGAGAAAAGGGAGAAAAACUUGUGCUGUUGUUUGAAUUGUUGGCUGGUAUACAGUGAAUUCCAUGCAGAUUUUCAACUGAUUUUGCUAGUUUAAUGUUGAGUUGGACUGCUGCCUAAUGCCUAUGAAUAUGGGCGUUGCCAAGUUGAGUGGUAGGCCACUAAUGGUUGGUUUAUAUUUUCGGAAGGUCUGUUUGUGAUCAUUUCUAUCUCUGCUGGUUACCCUGUUUUUGUCUGAACCUGUUUAUAUUUUGCAGGAAUGGUUUGGGAACCUGUUUGAACCACGGUAUGGAAUUAUGCAUCUUUGGACUGUUCUAAUUCAUCUGAAGAAGAUGGACAUUUCUACCCUUUCGCUUACACUGUUACGCAACCUUCAGUGGUGUCAUCCAGGGCCGGAUCCAGCUCUGGAAGAAUGUUGCAGACAUCAACAUCCAGACGGCGAAGAACAAGAAAAAUGGAACAACAUGUAGAGGUUUCAGGCUUGAUGCAGCCCUGAGAUAUAUGCUUCAUCUUCAGACUGGAUUUGAUUCAACUGAAAGGAUUGGAGAUGUCAUUUACAGAGGGGACAACUUCCUGCAGAGCAUACUUUCCGCUCAUCUUCCUAGUUAUUUAUGGAUGUUGCAAUUACCAUUGGAAGAACUCUGGAAGAAGGUUGGGGACAUAAAUAGAAUAUACAAGAUCCCCUAAAAAAGAAUAUACAAGAAGAAAACAUGGCAAAUCACAUUUAAAAAAAAUUCAUGCUUUUCAAAAAAUAUGGUCAUGACAUUUAAAAA
rnacentral:lncRNA from 1 species